rnacentral:sRNA from 1 species
ACACUAGAAUAUUCACGCUCCGGUGGCAGCAGCAGCAGCAGCCAGAGGAGCAGCCCGACACACAAGGGACCCCUCAGGAAUGAAGCAGCCUUUCAGGGCCAGAGGGGCUGUGGUCUCCCUUCCUCUCCUUAAAUAGCCAGCAUUCCACCCACAGCGGCAAGGAGCCCCCUGCCACCACCGACACCCACGGGCGGAGAUCACCUGCUGCCCCGCAGACCCCUGUCCCUUCCUCCUGGACCGGCAGCUAGAGGCUCUGACUCCAGCCAAAGCAUGAAUGGCCUUGAAGUGGCUCCCCCAGGUCUGAUCACCAACUUCUCCCUGGCCACGGCAGAGCAAUGUGGCCAGGAGACGCCACUGGAGAACAUGCUGUUCGCCUCCUUCUACCUUCUGGAUUUUAUCCUGGCUUUCGUUGGCAAUACCCUGGCUCUGUGGCUUUUCAUCCGAGACCACAAGUCCGGGACCCCGGCCAACGUGUUCCUGAUGCAUCUGGCCGUGGCCGACUUGUCGUGCGUGCUGGUCCUGCCCACCCGCCUGGUCUACCACUUCUCUGGGAACCACUGGCCAUUUGGGGAAAUCGCAUGCCGUCUCACUGGCUUCCUCUUCUACCUCAACAUGUACGCCAGCAUCUACUUCCUCACCUGCAUCAGCGCCGACCGCUUCCUGGCCAUUGUGCACCCGGUCAAGUCCCUCAAGCUCCGCAGGCCCCUCUACGCACACCUGGCCUGUGCCUUCCUGUGGGUGGUGGUGGCUGUGGCCAUGGCCCCGCUGCUGGUGAGCCCGCAGACCGUGCAGACCAACCACACGGUGGUCUGCCUGCAGCUGUACCGGGAGAAGGCCUCCCACCAUGCCCUGGUGUCCCUGGCCGUGGCCUUCACCUUCCCGUUCAUCACCACGGUCACCUGCUACCUGCUGAUCAUCCGCAGCCUGCGGCAGGGCCUGCGUGUGGAGAAGCGCCUCAAGACCAAGGCAGUGCGCAUGAUCGCCAUAGUGCUGGCCAUCUUCCUGGUCUGCUUCGUGCCCUACCACGUCAACCGCUCCGUCUACGUGCUGCACUACCGCAGCCGUGGGGCCUCCUGCGCCACCCAGCGCAUCCUGGCCCUGGCAAACCGCAUCACCUCCUGCCUCACCAGCCUCAACGGGGCACUCGACCCCAUCAUGUAUUUCUUCGUGGCUGAGAAGUUCCGCCACGCCCUGUGCAACUUGCUCUGUGGCAAAAGGCUCAAGGGCCCGCCCCCCAGCUUCGAAGGGAAAACCAACGAGAGCUCGCUGAGUGCCAAGUCAGAGCUGUGAGCGGGGGGUGCCGUCCAGGCCAAGCGCAGACUGUUUAGGACUCAGCAGACUCAGCAAGAGGCAUCUGCCCUUUCCCCAGCCACCUCCCCAGCAAGCAACCUGAAAUCUCAGCAGAUGCCCACCAUUUCUCUAGAUCGCCUAGUCUCAACCCCUAAAAAGGGAGAACUGACAAAGGGGAUCCAUCGGCCACCCCUCUGCAGGGGCUUGUGAUGGCUACAAUGGCUCCUAGACACUCAACGACUUCAUCUGUGGCAGGGAGAGAGGAGGCCGGAAGAACAACCCCUGAACAAUGGAGGCCUUUCUUUCCCGCUAGGCUCCCAGCCUCCUUCCCGCUACAGAAUCGCUCAGCGGCGAGGUUCAGCAGAAAGACCCGGAAGGCAGGCUGCAAAUGACCCAGAAGAGGGACCUGGGAGUCCUGGUGGGGGCGGGGAGGGAGUCUCAAUAUUCCUUUGCAGUGCAAGGUACUCUGAGUCCCCUCUGUAGUGCCUCUGCCAGACACACACUGCCUGAGUUGAAGAGACACAGGCCACACAUUUCGGGCUGGUUGCCAGCGGACGUCAGCACUCACGGCCUGCAGGGACUCAGCACAGCUCUGGAUUCUGGAUCUCUCCUGCUGUAACCCCACGCACAAGCCUGCAACCCCCAGAGCUCUUUGACAGGCUCCCAGGCCUCCCAGUCCUGGACAAACAUGUACAGUCACAGGAGCUCAGCUCAGGCCAGGGCUGGGCUGUGCACCUGCCUCCCACUGACCCAGACCCACUUCCUCCAGAGAGGCCUCUCUCUGCCUGAGCUAUUUCCCUUGCUAGUGUGCAGAUAUUUCCCUAACAUGUCCUUUUUUGUAUUUGUUUGUACAGACCAUAAAUAUAACUGUAGCUUUAAGACUA